rnacentral:rRNA from 1 species
AGUGAACGCUGGCGGUAGGCCUAACACAUGCAAGUCGAACGGCAGCACAGAGGAGCUUGCUCCUUGGGUGGCGAGUGGCGGACGGGUGAGGAAUACAUCGGAAUCUACUCUGUCGUGGGGGAUAACGUAGGGAAACUUACGCUAAUAUCGCAUACGACCUACGGGUGAAAGCAGGGGAUCUUCGGACCUUGCGCGAUUGAAUGAGCCGAUGUCGGAUUAGCUAGUUGGCGGGGUAAAGGCCCACCAAGGCGACGAUCCGUAGCUGGUCUGAGAGGAUGAGCAGCCACACUGGAACUGAGACACGGUCCGGACUCCUACGGGAGGCAGCAGUGGGGAAUAUUGGACAAUGGGCGCAAGCCUGAUCCAGCCAUACCGCGUGGGUGAAGAAGGCCUUCGGGUUGUAAAGCCCUUUUGUUGGGAAAGAAAUCCAUCUGGUUAAUACCCGGGUGGGAUGACGGUACCCAAAGAAUAAGCACCGGCUAACUUCGUGCCAGCAGCCGCCGUAA